UACGUAGGCAGCGAGCGUUGUUCGGAAUUACUGGGCGUAAAGAGUGUGUAGGCGGUGCUCUAAGUUCGGUGUGAAAUCUCUCGGCUUAACUGGGAGGGUGCGCCGGAAACUGGAGUGCUCGAACGUGGGAGAGGAAAGCGGAAUUCCUGGUGUAGCGGUGAAAUGCGUAGAUAUCAGGAGGAACACCGGUGGCGAAGGCGGCUACCUGGACAGAAACUGACGCUGAGGCACGAAAGCUAGGGGAGCAAACAGG
rnacentral:rRNA from 1 species